rnacentral:lncRNA from 1 species
UUUUCCGGGCCCGGUCCUAGGAUCGUCCCCUUUCUCCGGGAAAUGGAAACCUUCCGAUAAGGAAAACCUUCCAUAUUUCCGAAUAUGGAAGAGUUAACCUACUCCAACCGACUAAGGCCCACCUUAGGAAGACUAUAUAAAGGGAACCUAAACCCUAAAGGAAGGGAUCGACACUUCGAGACUUAGAGAUUAGAUCUACGCGGCGAAAACUAGGGUUCUUACUCAAAACUGUUGUAGUUCCAGCUCUUCGAUCUAAUAAUACGUCUCUUUCUACUUUCUUACUUGCAAAUCAAUAUAAAUACUAGCCUUGUCCACCAU